UCCUCAGUUUCUUUAUUUGUUUAUGAAUUUUGCGUUUGUCCCCAAUGGCUUCUAGUUCCAUCACUCCUAAAUCUAUCCAUGUCAGCAGUGGGAGUGCCUUUUCAUCAAUUAAGUGUCUCUCAAACAGGCUGGCAUAUUCAGCUAGCCUAGGCUCUAUGUUGGAAAGCCAGGUCGCUAUAUCAAAUGGUUGGUUGUUGGAUGAACUGUCGGCCAUAGGUGACAGAAGAAAAAGAAGAAGAUUUGGCGGUGUGAAAAUGAGGGUGAAGAGAAGUGUUGUAGGAUAGGAGAUAUAAGAUAGUGAUAUGCACAAGAAUGGUCU
rnacentral:lncRNA from 1 species